UCAUUUAUCAAGAUAUCAAUACCAAUAUAUUAAAAUUAUGUUAAUAUGGUGAAUGUUAUUUCAUAAACGUUUUUUCCCCAAGCAAUAUUCAACAGAUGGAGAUGAAAGGGAUGAUAGCAGUACUGCCAGUGAUACAGCAGCUUCUACCCAUCUCAACAGGCAAAAUGAGAAGUGGACGUGGACAGUCCACACCCACAAGUCAUAUGCUGCCUGUGCCUCCAAACAUAAGCCCAGCUCCAUCUCAAAUGCCAGUGGUUACACCAAGUACAUCGUCAACCUUUGCUCGACAAGAAAACUUAAGGCCAAGCUCAUCAUCAACCCAUACUUACAAUCCAAUCCAUGGAAUGAACCUGCGUAUUCUAACGACACUAGAACAGGUUCGUGCAGAUGUCUCCUACCUUUCCCAGAAAAUGAACAGGGUCUUGGCACGUCUGGAUUCCAUGGAAGGCAUGGGCAAAAAACUUGACAAUCAGUUGCCAUCAGAAAUAUCACUGCCUGUUGAGGAUUUGGAGGCUUUAAACCAAGUUGAGAAGUUGCUCCUAAAUGAAUCUGUGAAAUCUCUGGUGUCCCGGCUAGGACUCAUGGGUGGUGAAACAGUUAAGGAAACAACCAUCCGCGUCAUGGUACAUGCAAUCUCGCAUUAAUUGGCCUUACAGCUUAACUGGAUGGGCAAAGGAGGAAAAACGGCUUUCUCCAAUCUACGUCUGAAAGAUGUUGUGUUCAAUAUCCCAGUCGUUGACACCCAUCCUAGAGGUACAGACACGCCCUGAAGAGAGAUAACACAGCUGCCACUGCUGAACGGGUAAUGUUGUAGAUGGGGCCUUUGGUGUUUUCAAAUCAAGAUUCAGGUACGGAUUACGAGGCACGAGUGACAGGCUAUCGUCCAAGAAAGGUACCAACCAAGGAUUUCGAUCUAUCCAUCACAAGAAAGAAGCGAUUCCGUCGGGUAUCAGAAACUGAUACUGAUGAGGUAAUUACCCGCAAUGAAAAUAGAGACACUACCAACAAACACC
rnacentral:lncRNA from 1 species